rnacentral:tRNA from 1 species
GCCAAUAUAGCUCAGUUGGUAGAGCAGCUGAUUUGUAAUCAGCCGGUCGUUGGUUCGAGUCCGACUAUUGGCU